UUUUUUGCCAAUAUAUGCAGAACUAGAUUGAUUAAUAUAAAAUGCAGAAAUCUGUAUACAUCUAUUUACAUUAUAAAAGGGCAUCCGUGCUGCUACCUGCAUUGAAAGUGUCAUUUAUCACAUACAGCUUUCCCGUAAUUAUCUAGUUACAUACAUGGAAAUAAUAUUUGGCCAAAAAAAAUAAUGAUAGUCAUGGUAGCUCUGUAUAUAGAUCAGAGCUCAGUUUUUUUUUUUUUUUUCCUCCUCUGUUGGUUUUCUAAGGAAAAGAAGCAGAAGAAAGUUUUAUUAUGCACUUUAUCUUCUUAAAACUCUUUAUUGCAGCAGAUGAAGCCUCUUCCAACAUUCUCUUCCACUUUUAGGGGAUACUUAUUAUCCAUCCAAGCAAGAUAACCUCCUCCCAU
rnacentral:misc_RNA from 1 species